rnacentral:rRNA from 1 species
GAUGAACGCUGGCGGCGUGCCUAAUACAUGCAAGUCGAGCGAACGGACGAGAAGCUUGCUUCUCUGAUGUUAGCGGCGGACGGGUGAGUAACACGUGGAUAACCUACCUAUAAGACUGGGAUAACUUCGGGAAACCGGGGCUAAUACCGGAUAAUAUUUUGAACCGCAUGGUUCAAAAGUGAAAGACGGUCUUGCUGUCACUUAUAGAUGGAUCCGCGCUGCAUUAGCUAGUUGUUAAGGUAACGGCUUACCAAGGCAACGAUGCAUAGCCGACCUGAGAGGGUGAUCGGCCAACCGGGAACUGAGACACGGUCCAGACUCCUACGGGAGGCAGCAGGAGGGAAUCUUCCGCAAUGGGCGAAAGCCUGACGGAGCAACGCCGCGUGAGUGAUGAAGGUCUUCGGAUCGUAAAACUCUGUUAUUAGGGAAGAACAUAUGUGUAAGUAACUGUGCACAUCUUGACGGUACCUAAUCAGAAAGCCACGGCUAACUACGUG